UAAGGAAUAUUGGUCAAUGGACGCAAGUCUGAACCAGCCAUGCCGCGUGGAGGAUUAAGGCCCUCUGGGUUGUAAACUCCUUUUAUCUGGGAAGAAAUGUACUUUUUCUUGAGUACUUGACGGUACCAGAGGAAUAAGCACCGGCUAACUCCGUGCCAGCAGCCGCGGUAAUACGGAGGGUGCAAGCGUUAUCCGGAUUCACUGGGUUUAAAGGGUGCGUAGGUGGGCAGGUAAGUCAGUGGUGAAAUCUCCGGGCUUAACCCGGAAACUGCCGUUGNUACUAUUUGUCUUGAAUAUUGUGGAGGUAAGCGGAAUAUGUCAUGUAGCGGUGAAAUGCUUAGAUAUGACAUAGAACACCAAUUGCGAAGGCAGCUUGCUACACAAUCAUUGACGCUGAGGCACGAAAGCGUGGGGAUCAAACA
rnacentral:rRNA from 1 species